rnacentral:rRNA from 1 species
GAAGGGGGCUAGCGUUGUUCGGAAUUACUGGGCGUAAAGGGCGCGUAGGCGGCUUCGAUAGUCGGGUGUGAAAUGCCUGGGCUCAACCCAGGAACUGCACUCGAAACUCCGAGGCUAGAGUGUGGGAGAGGAUAGUGGAAUUCCCAGUGUAGAGGUGAAAUUCGUAGAUAUUGGGAAGAACACCGGUGGCGAAGGCGGCUAUCUGGACCACAACUGACGCUGAGGCGCGAAAGCGUGGGGAGCAAACAGGAUUAGAUACCCUGGUAGUCCACGCUGUAAACUAUGUGUGCUUGACGUCAGAGGGCAUAGCCCCCUGGUGUCGGAGCUAACGCGGUAAGCACACCGCCUGGGGAGUACGGUCGCAAGAUUA